rnacentral:rRNA from 1 species
UGGAAGUUAGAACUAGUGGCGGACGGGUGAGUAACGCGUGGGUAACCUGCCUCAUACAGGGGGAUAACAGUUAGAAAUGACUGCUAACACCGCAUAAUAUAGCGAAACCGCAUGAUUUUGCUAUCAAAUAGUUUAUAGGUAUGAGAUGGGCCCGCGUCUGAUUAGCUAGUUGGUGGGGUAAAAGCCUACCAAGGCAACGAUCAGUAGCCGGCUUGAGAGAGUGACCGGCCACAUUGGGACUGAGACACGGCCCAAACUCCUACGGGAGGCAGCAGUGGGAAUAUUGGACAAUGGGGAAACCCUGAUCCAGCGAACCGCCGCGUGAGUGAAGAAGUAUUUCGGUAUGUAAAGCUCUAUCAGCAGGGAAGAUAAUGACAGUACCUGACUAAGAAGCCCCGGCUAACUACGUGCCAGCAGCCGC